rnacentral:lncRNA from 1 species
UACAAGAUGCUCAGCAUAUUCCUUCCCUCCAUAAGCCUUCAACGGCCUUGGUAAUUCAAACCUGCCGCGCCCACACAUUGCACAACUUGAUCAAGACUGAUCCGAGUGAUGGCUGGACCGGAUGGGAUGUACGGACGCUGUACGGCCUUGAGGUCCGUACACUCGUCCUAUGCCUUCAUCCAACUUCCUUCUAUGGUUAACCCUUACAAAUAGCAUCAGAUAACAAUAGGAUUGAACUUAGACAGUAUGAGAUACCUUCUUGGAUCACCUUAGGCCGUACCAUGGCCGUACCGAACGCCCUAUCUUUGCACCAUACUUCGAUUAUGUAUGCAAAAUAACUUACCAAUCAUGAUGCAAGCAGCAGAGACAUUCUACUCAAUUCUACAACACAUUCAUGAUGAUUCAAGCUAUGACAACACCUUCAGAACACUUCUGAAGCUUGGUUGAACUCUUCUAGACAUCUUCUAGAGCUUGCCCUAUUCUUGUACAAGCUCCAUCUUCUCUUCAGUUUUACUUACUAUCAAUAUGACAAUGCAACAGCAAAACAAUUUCAGUGCAAUUAGCCUAGACAUACUACUAGAAGCUAUAAACACUUAAUGGAAUUAGGGAAAGCACAUAGUAUAAUCAGGAGUUAAACCUAUCAAGACAUAUUAAGAUAGAUGAGAUUAGGUUUACUCCCUUGGUUAAGAUGAUGAGGAGUGGUUCUCAGAGUUACCACUUGAAUCCUUACUUCUUCUUCUUCUCUUAUUGCAAUCACCCUUCUGAAGUCACCACCAUGAUGGAAUGCUUGUGGAUGCUUCAGCUACUUCUUCAAUCACCUCACAAUAGAAGCCGCCUUGAUAGAGUAGCCUUCUUCUUCACACAGCCAAGAGUGCUCUGUCUUAGUUUGAGCACCCUCUUGAAUAGGCACGCCACUGCCUAGACCCGGUUGGCUUCUUCUUCUGAUACUUGCAAUGUUAAGAAGAAGAGCACGAGUGAGUUUUACAACCAUCUGUGCUUCUCCCUUUCUUGUAACACCUCUCCAUUGUACACACAAUGGGCAUCAUUCUUUCUCUUUCAACUCGGAUUUGAUGAUGAACUAGGAGCACCUUUUGUGAACCUGAAACAUCACUCAAACUCUAGCCAAGAUAAGACACAAUUGCAUUGGGAUCAAUCCUUGACUUCAUCAAGUUUGAUCACCAAUGUCUCAAGCUUUAUAACAUUAGAUAGAAUCAAGACAAUGUCAAGUUCUUAUCUAUGCAAGCAACCAUUCUCUAAAUACUAAGCAAGACCUUAUCAGAUUCAAGUCAAAGUAUUUAGGCAAUUUUAAUCACUCCUUAAUAUGCAACUUAGACUUUAAUCUAAAUGCAACAAUCCAAAGCAGCAACAAGGCAGUAUGCAUUAAUCUUAACAGUUUCUAACACAUGAAAGCAAGAAUGAUUAGAUAUAAUCUAUCAUCUUAACAAGACAAGUUAAUUUAGAGCUGUCAUUAAGCAUUUACCAUUUUCAAUAGUAUUGAUGUCAAAACUUGAUUAAUAAAUCAUCAAGUUUGAUUCCCAAUAACACAAGCAAUGCAACAGAUAGACACAAGGCAUUAUCAAGUUCUAUUCUUUGCAAGCUAGCUCUCUAAGAACAAUCAAGAUCCUAACAGAUUCAAGACAAGUUACUUAGGCAUUUUUAAAAGCUUCUUUACUCAGCAAUUUAGACAUGAAUCUAAUGCCUCAAUGGAAGACAGCCACAAGACUAUAUGCAACAGCUUUCAAUUCCGUUUCAAUCCAUGUAUGCAAGCAGAUUCAAUUAAUCACAACAAGCAUCACUAUGAUUCGGAGCUAAGCAUAUUAACAAUCUUAAUCACCAAACCAGGCUCUUUAAGCAUACUGAGACAGAUUCUAAAAGUAUUCAUUUAGCAAUCUUUAAACAAUUCUCAGGUUUUCAAUCACAUCACAACCAGUCAAUAUACUCAAGCUUUAUACAAGAGAAAGAGGUUUCUUACAGCCAAGGAACUAGUGUUAGUUCCUUGAAACUCCAUAGAACAUGGCAAGACAGUGAGCUGUUGGUGUCGAUUCCAACUUCUCCUUCUCCCAUGGACCUUUCUCUUGAACUCUCCAUGUCAAAGACCCCACCUUUCUUCAUGUUAAGUUCGCCACAUCAGUACCAGCUGAAAGCUAUCACCUUUCUUCUUGGACAGUGGAUAAGACCUAGCUUGGACAUAGCUUUGAAGCUUGGUUGAUGAGAUCGCCUCAUACACCAUUGCUUCCAAGGUUCUUUCUUCUUCAUGGGCUUCAUGAGAGAGUGUAGGUCGGCCAGAGACAGCUUCUGGACACCAUGGAUGAGCACACCUUCUUCUUGAAGAGUAGAACAACCGGCUGGACCAUGGAGCUUCUUCUUGGCUUCAAGCGACAUGGAGGAGAGCUAUGAGCUUCAGCAGAAGCAAGAACCAAGUUCUAAUGAACCUGGCUCUGAUACCAUAUGAUUUUUAAAGAGAUCUCUACUCUGGUUGUGUGUAUGUGUGUAUAAACUCCAAUGGAGAAAGAUGAGAGCUUAGUUCUAGGUGAUUUAAGAACAGAGAUGGGUGAGAGUGUUUAAGUGUUUAAGAGACUAAAGAGAAUGAGAUUAAGAGACUGAGAGACUAGAGAGAGACUGAGAGAAUAAGAGACUGAAGAUUAGGGAAGGAGAAGGGAAACCCCCUUACUCACUUAGUUCUUUUACAAACGACAUUGCUUAGCUUAUAUAUGAGCUUUACACAACUCAGAUCAUAAACCUAGAUCCUAAGGCUGUAAAUACAAACUAGAAUGGAUGGUCAGGAUGAGAGAAGACUGGUCUUGAUGUCCUGGUUCUUAGCUGGCGACUUGAUCCAAUGUAAAGGGCUUAGAUUGCUUCAUUUGAAUUGAAUGGAUAGGAUGAGUCAAGGCUGUAAAGGUAAAGCACCUUUACCUUUCCAGCUCAUACCAACAGCUCACCUUAUCCAUUUGAAUCUUCCCUUGCCUCCAAGAGUUUCCAACGGUCACAUGAUUCAACCUAAGUCGCGCCCACACAUUGUACAACUUGGGCAAGGCUGAUCCGGGUGAUGGCCGAACUGGAUAGUUUGUACGGACGCUGUACGGCCUUGAGGUCCGUACACUCGCCCUAUGCCUUCAUCCAACUUCCUUCUAAGGUUGACCCUUACACCUUCUUGGAUCACCCUAGGCCGUACCAUGGCCGUACUGAACGCCCUAUCUUUGCACCAUACUUCCAUCUUC